rnacentral:rRNA from 1 species
GAGUUUGACCAUGGCUCAGGACGACAGAGGCGGCGUGCUUAACACAUGCAAGUCGAACGAGACGAUUGAAAGCUUGCUUUUGAGAGUCGAGUGGCAAACGGGUGAGUUUCGCGUAGACAACCUGCCGCAAAGAUGGGGACAACAGUCCGAAAGGACUGNUAAUACCGAAUGCNGUCCGAUUUCCGCAUGGAGGACGCAUUAAAGAUGGCCUCUACUUGUAAGCUAUCGCUUUGUGAUGGGUCNGCGUCUGAUUAGCUAGUUGGUGGGGUAACGGCCUACCAAGGCGACGAUCAGUAGCCGGUCUGAGAGGAUGAACGGCCACAUUGGAACUGAGACACGGUCCAGACUCCUACGGGAGGCAGCAGUGGGGAAUCUUCCGCAAUGGGCGAAAGCCUGACGGAGCAACGCCGCGUGAGUGAAGAAGGGUUUCGGCUCGUAAAGCUCUGUUGUCGGGGACGAAUGUGCAAGAUGCGAAUAGUUUCUUGCAAUGACGGUCCCUGACGAGGAAGCCACGGCUAACUACGUGCCAGCAGCCGCGGUAAUACGUAGGUGGCGAGCGUUGUCCGGAAUUAUUGGGCGUAAAGGGAGCGCAGGCGGGAAGGCAAGUCAGUCUUAAAAGUGCGGGGCUCAACCCCGUGAUGGGAUUGAAACUGUCUUUCUUGAGUGCAGGAGAGGAAAGCGGAAUUCCUAGUGUAGCGGUGAAAUGCGUAGAUAUUAGGAGGAACACCAGUGGCGAAGGCAGCUUUCUGGACAUGUAACUGACGCUGAGGCUCGAAAGCCUGGGGAGCGAACACGAUUACAUACCCUGGUAGUCCACUCCGUAAACGAUGAAUGCUAGGUGUAGGAGGUAUCGACCCCUUCUGUGCCGGAGUUAACGCAAUAGGCAUUCCGCCUGGGGAGUACGGUCGCAAGACUGAAACUCAAAGGAAUUGACGGGGGCCCGCACAAGCGGUGGAGUAUGUGGUUUAAUUCGACGCAACGCGAAGAACCUUACCCUGGCUUGACAUUGAAUGAAAGACUUAGAGAUAAGUCCCUCUCUUCGGACACACAAAAACAGGUGGUGCAUGGCUGUCGUCAGCUCGUGUCGUGAGAUGUUGGGUUAAGUCCCGCAACGAGCGCAACCCCUAUCAUUUGUUGCCAGCACGUUAUGGUGGGAACUCAAAUGAGACUGCCGCGGACAACGCGAAGGAAGGCGGGAAUGACGUCCAGUCAUCAUGCCCCUUAUGUCCUGGGCUACACACGUACUACAAUGGGAUGGACAGAAAGCAUCCAACCCGCGAGGGCAAGCCAACCCCAUAAACCAUCUCCCAGUUCGGAUUGCAGGCUGCAACUCCCCUGCAUGAAGUCUGAAUCGCU